GUGGGCGUAGCUCAGUUGGUAGAGCCCCGGAUUGUGAUUCCGGUGGUCGGGGGUUCGAGCCCCAUCGUCCCCCCCA
rnacentral:tRNA from 1 species